GAUGAACGCUGGCGGCGUGCCUAAUACAUGCAAGUCGAGCGAACAGACGAGGAGCUUGCUCCUCUGACGUUAGCGGCGGACGGGUGAGUAACACGUGGAUAACCUACCUAUAAGACUGGGAUAACUUCGGGAAACCGGAGCUAAUACCGUAUAAUAUAUUGAACCGCAUGGUUCAAUAGUGAAAGACGGUUUUGCUGUCACUUAUAGAUGGAUCCGCGCCGCAUUAGCUAGUUGGUAAGGUAACGGCUUACCAAGGCAACGAUGCGUAGCCGACCUGAGAGGGUGAUCGGCCACACUGGAAGUGAGACACGGUCCAGACUCCUACGGGAGGCAGCAGUAGGGAAUCUUCCGCAAUGGGCGAAAGCCUGACGGAGCAACGCCGCGUGAGUGAUGAAGGUCUUCGGAUCGUAAAACUCUGUUAUUAGGGAAGAACAAAUGUGUAAGUAACUAUGCACGUCUUGACGGUACCUAAUCAGAAAGCCACGGCUAACUACGUG
rnacentral:rRNA from 1 species